rnacentral:rRNA from 1 species
AUAUCACUAAGCGGAGAAAAAGAAAAUAACUAUGAUUCCUAAAGUAACGGCGAGUGAAUAGGAUAAGCCCAUAGCCGAAUUCUGCUGUCCUCGAUGGCAGCUAGAAGUUGUGGCGUUGGAGACUCGCUAUUGUAACCGAUCGGUCGGGCUACGCGACUCCUCUUGAUUGUGGUUUGCCCAUAGCAGGUGAAAGGCCUAUUGUCGUAGCCUCGUAUUAAAGACCGCGGUGACGUG